rnacentral:pre_miRNA from 1 species
CACUCCAAAGGGCGCCAUUCAGGUACACCAAAUUAUGAUUGGCACUUUUUUGAGUGUG